UCUUCAAUAUGGAAUUAUGGACAGACGUUGAAUUUAAAACUGUGAUAGACGCAGACUUCUGCGGAUAGACGCAAUAAAGACAUUAUUAGAAUAUCAUCAGACGACUUUGAAAGAAUAAAAGGUGAACAGUAGGUAUAGGUACACAUAUCUAUUAUCAAACCACGUUAAAUAAAAUAAAAUUAUUAUCUAACAGUCAGGUAUACAUAUGAAUCAAGUGAUAAUAGUCAACGAUUUAAGAAAUGUAAAAUACGGGCAGUAUCAACGUCAUGAAACAGCUAUGCAAAGUUUACUUGAGAAGCAAUCUCUUUGACGCGAUCGUCAAAGAGACGUGUGUUAUACACCAUACCCCAAUCCGAGAUUCUGUUACGGACAACGAGAAACGUUGCUAAAAGUAGAAUACGGUGAUUUAUUACCUACACGUGGAAAAUGAAAAGAGGCGUAUGCAAAAGGAGUCUUCAAUAUGGAAUUAUUGGACAGACGUUGAAUUUAAAACUGUGAUAGACGCAGACUUCUGCGGAUAGACGCAAUAAAGACAUUAUUAGAAUAUCAUCAGACGACUUUGAAAGAAUAAAAGGUGAACAGUAGGUAUAGGUACACAUAUCUAUUAUCAAACCACGUUAAAUAAAAUAAAAUUAUUAUCUAACAGUCAGGUAUACAUAUGAAUCAAGUGAUAAUAGUCAACGAUUUAAGAAAUGUAAAAUACGGGCAGUAUCAACGUCAUGAAACUGCUAUGCAAAGUUUACUUGAGAAGCAAUCUCUUUGACGCGAUCGUCAAAGAGACGUGUGUUAUACACCAUACCCCAAUCCGAGAUUCUGUUACGGACAACGAGAAACGUUGCUAAAAGUAGAAUACGGUGAUUUAUUACCUACACGUGGAAAAUGAAAAGAGGCGUAUGCAAAAGGAGUCUUCAAUAUGGAAUUAUUGGACAGACGUUGAAUUUAAAACUGUGAUAGACGCAGACUUCUGCGGAUAGACGCAAUAAAGACAUUAUUAGAAUAUCAUCAGACGACUUUGAAAGAAUAAAAGGUGAACAGUAGGUAUAGGUACACAUAUCUAUUAUCAAACCACGUUAAAUAAAAUAAAAUUAUUAUCUAACAGUCAGGUAUACAUAUGAAUCAAGUGAUAAUAGUCAACGAUUUAAGAAAUGUAAAAUACGGGCAGUAUCAACGUCAUGAA